rnacentral:rRNA from 1 species
UACGUAGGGGGCUAGCGUUGUCCGGAAUCAUUGGGCGUAAAGCGCGUGUAGGCGGUUCGGUAAGUCCGCUGUGAAAGUCGGGGGCUCAACCCUCGGAUGCCGGUGGAUACUGUCGAGCUUGAGUACGGAAGAGGCGAGUGGAAUUCCUGGUGUAGCGGUGAAAUGCGCAGAUAUCAGGAGGAACACCGAUGGCGAAGGCAGGUCUCUGGGCCGAUACUGACGCUGAGGAGCGAAAGCGUGGGGAGCGAACAGG